rnacentral:rRNA from 1 species
UGGGGAAUAUUGCACAAUGGGCGAAAGCCUGAUGCAGCAACGCCGCGUGAGUGAUGAAGGCCCUCGGGUUGUAAAGCUCUGUCUUCUGGGACGAUAAUGACGGUACCAGAGGAGGAAGCCACGGCUAACUACGUGCCAGCAGCCGCGGUAAUACGUAGGUGGCAAGCGUUGUCCGGAUUUACUGGGCGUAAAGGGAGCGUAGGCGGACUUUUAAGUGAGAUGUGAAAUACCCGGGCUCAACCUGGGUGCUGCAUUUCAAACUGGAAGUCUAGAGUGCAGGAGAGGAGAGUGGAAUUCCUAGUGUAGCGGUGAAAUGCGUAGAGAUUAGGAAGAACACCAGUGGCGAAGGCGACUCUCUGGACUGUAACUGACGCUGAGGCUCGAAAGCGUGGGGAGCAAACA